rnacentral:rRNA from 1 species
CCUACGGGAGGCAGCAGUGAGGAAUCUUCGUCAAUGGACGAGAGUCUGAACCAGCCACGUAGCGUGAAGGAUGACUGCCCUCUGGGUGGUAAACUUCUUUUAUAUGGGAAUAAAAUGUUCCACGUGUGGGUUUUUGUAUGUACCAUAUGAAUAAGGAACGGCUAACUCCGUGCCAGCAGCCGCGGUAAUACGGAGGAUCCGAGCGUUAGCCGGAUUUAUUGGGGUUAAAGGGAGCGUAGGUGGAUUGUUAAGUCAGUUGUGAAAGUUUGCGGCUCAACCGUAAUAUUGCAGUUGAAACUGGUAGUCUUGAGUACAGUAGAGGUGAGCGGAAUUCGAGGUGUAGCGGUGAAAUGCUUAGAUAUCACGAAGAACUCCGAUGGCGAAGGCAGCUCUCUGGACUGCAACUGACACUGAGGCUCGAAAGUGUGGGUAUCAAACAGGAUUAGAUACCCGAGUAGUC